rnacentral:rRNA from 1 species
UACCAGCACCCCGAGUGGUCGGGACGUUUAUUGGGCCUAAAGCAUCCGUAGCCGGUUCUGCAAGUCUUCCGUUAAAUCCACCUGCUUAACAGAUGGGCCGCGGAAGAUACUAUAGAGCUAGGAGGCGGGAGAGGCAAGCGGUACUCGACGGGUAGGGGUAAAAUCCGUUGAUCCAUUGAAGACCACCAGUGGCGAAGGCGGCUUGCCAGAACGCGCUCGACGGUGAGGGAUGAAAGCUGGGGGAGCAAACCGG